rnacentral:rRNA from 1 species
AGUGAACGCUGGCGGUAGGCCUAACACAUGCAAGUCGAACGGCAGCACAGUAAGAGCUUGCUCUUACGGGUGGCGAGUGGCGGACGGGUGAGGAAUACAUCGGAAUCUACUUUUUCGUGGGGGAUAACGUAGGGAAACUUACGCUAAUACCGCAUACGACCUACGGGUGAAAGCAGGGGAUCUUCGGACCUUGCUCGAUUGAAUGAGCCGAUGUCGGAUUAGCUAUUUGGCGGGGUAAAGGCCCACCAAGGCGACGAUCCGUAGCUGGUCUGAGAGGAUGAUCAGACACACUGGAACUGACACACGGUACAGACUCAUACGGGAGGCAGGAGGGGGGAAUAUGGGACAAUGGGCGAAAGCGUGAUCCAGCCAUACCGCGUGGGUGAAGAAGGCCUUCGGGUUGUAAAGCCCUUUUGUCGGGAAAGAAAAGCAGCAGGUUAAUACCCCGCUGUUCUGACGGUACCCAAAGAAUAAGCACCGGCUAACUUCGU